AUGGCAAAAAUCGUAAAUAGAGAGUGGUAAAUUUUGAUAAGUGUUGAGGGUGGAAAGGUCUUUUGAAAAAAAAAAAAAAAAAAGAAAUUCCACUAACAAUCAGACUUGAGCUUCCCGUGUAAGCCAUCAAAGAACCAUUUUCUUUGAGAGUUUUCUAGAACAAGUGAGACGGUGAGUGGUGGAUGAUGGGUGGCUUGGGUAGUGAGUCCGGCUGGGUCAAAAUAGUUUGAAGCUUAUGAUUGUUGUGUCUACAGCUGGGUUUUCUCUUGUGAAGUGUUGGAAGGACGAUUUGCAGUACAAGGGUGUGAGAAACUCUUUAAGAAUAGAGACUAGGGCCAUGCUCAAGAAUGUUCUUGAAGGGAAAUUGAAGACUUGCGUUUACGAAGAUAUAUGAGCUGCUGGAAUUUUUGUUGAAGUUGGAAAUUUGGUGGAAAUACACAGGUGAAUCAGGUGAAUAAAAAAAAAUCAUCAUCAAGGAGGCAAGGAAAGUAAUAAAGCUUUCAAGGGUGACUAGUUGACCGGUGAACUACGCGACUACUGGAGGAAUUAGAUGGUGUUUUAAUUGCUAAUACCAGAUAUAGUUGAUCCAGUAGAGCCAGAUCUUCCUACAGCCAGAUAGACUUUCAACCUCCUUAUUCUGGUGAGCCCAGCACAUAUAGUGCGGGUGUGAUUAUGUAUUAUUUUGGACUCAUGUAUCACCGUAUUUUAUCGACUCUAGAUGCUCCGUUAACUACAGAUAAGGUAUAAUGAUAUGUAAGGCUAUGGGCCAGACUGUGUUGUAGGUAUUUUCAUAUCACGUAUGUUUUGUUUAUUUGAUUAUAUUAGUGCCAAACCACCUGUUCAGAGGCU